UCCCAUCCCUAAUUCGAAACCCUAAAACAGAGAGAGAGCUCGGCGGCGCCUCCUCGCCUCCCGCCGCUAGCUGCUCCGGUCGGCGCCUCCAAUGCGUCGCCGGAGACUGGAUGCCCCUCCCUCUCCAUCCUUGGUCUCACUCUCUUCUUAGAACAACAUCCCCAAUCAAAACACCAAUCUCUAACUCCAUUUCUCUCUUCUCUCUCUGCGAGUCGCCGCCAACCGUCGCCGCCAUCUCGUCGCCAACGCCGCCUCGCUGCGUCGUUCGGCGCCGUUCCGAUCGGGCAACUCAAAUGAACAAUCGUAAAAGCUAAGUCCUUUCACCGGCGGAGUCGCCGACAGGAAAGAGGCGUCGCCUCUCUUUCUCCCUGCUUCCGGCGUUACCCUGCCCUUUUCCCGACGAAUCCUCCAUUGCCGUCAUCGCGGAUCGCCGCUGCUGCUUCUCCUCCUUUCUCGGCGUCUAAGCGCCGUCACUGCCAUCUACGGCUGGAGCUGACGCCGUCCGGCUCGCUGUGCAGGCCAGCGCCGCCGUCGGUCGGCCUUGAAGCUAAGUACAGCGAGAGAAAUGCAGGGCUGUUGGGAGCAGGGGAGUUCAAACUGAUUUUGCUUUCUUUGGCAAGUCUUUUGGUCUACUCUAACAAAGGAGGAAGAGACAACUUGGCUGCCUCCAAACUUGUCCCGGGAGGUAGGCUCGCUGCCUUGGCUCACCGGCUGACCGGGUGGGGUCGCGGUGGCGUGCGGCUUGGGCUCUGAAAAGAAGAGGCCCAACGUGUAAUAAAAGAGUCGGCCUUGGCUCCUAGCCCUUUUUGCCCAUACUUGUAAAUUUGUGUACUAGCAUUCACAUUUCCUUUCUCUUAAAUUCUUACUUCCCAUGUUUCUCACUAUGUAAGCUAGAGUGUAUUUGAUAGUAGUUGCAUUUUCUUAGCUAGAAAACGAACUCUUCAUCUUCUUUCUCGUUAGUUAUGGCUCGUAAAUAGUAAUGGAGUAGUUUUAGUUCA